AUAAGAUACUAAGGUGCUUAAGA
rnacentral:piRNA from 1 species